rnacentral:rRNA from 1 species
AGAGUUUGAUCCUGGCUCAGGAUAAACGCUGGCGGCGUGCAUGAGACAUGCAAGUCGAACGGUCAAUCGGGCUUGCUCGAUUGAUAGUGGCGGACGGCUGAGUAACGCGUAGGUGACCUGCCCCGAAGUGGGGAAUAACUGCCCGAAAGGGUGGCUAAUACCGCAUGUGGUGUCACGUUCGUUCGUGACUCCAAAGUCGUAAGGCGCUUCGGGAGGGGCCUGCGUCCGAUUAGCUCGUUGGUGAGGUAACGGCUCACCAAGGCGACGAUCGGUAGGUGGUCUGAGAGGACGAUCACCCAGACUGGGACUGAGACACGGCCCAGACUCCUACGGGAGGCAGCAGUCGGGAAUUUUGGGCAAUGGGCGAAAGCCUGACCCAGCAACGCCGCGUGAGGGAUGAAGGCCUUCGGGUCGUAAACCUCUUUUCUCAGGGACGAUAAUGACGGUACCUGAUGAAUAAGCCACGGCUAACUACGUGCCAGCAGCCGCGGUAAUACGUAGGUGGCGAGCGUUGUCCGGAUUUACUGGGCGUAAAGAGCGCGCAGGCGGUCGUACAAGUCGAAUGUGAAAGCCCCCGGCUCAACUGGGGAGGGUCAUUCGAUACUGUUCGACUCGAAGGCAGGAGAGGGAAGCGGGAUUCCCGGUGUAGUGGUGAAAUGCGUAGAUAUCGGGAGGAACACCAGUGGCGAAGGCGGCUUCCUGGCCUGUUCUUGACGCUGAGGCGCGAAAGCUAGGGGAGCAAACGGGAUUAGAUACCCCGGGUAGUCCUAGCCGUAAACGAUGGACACUAGUGUUGGCGGUAUCAACCCCGCCAGUGCCGUAGC